UAGUCAGCAUUAGGGUUUUAAACCCUAAACGGAAUUUUCCUUUUAGCCAGCAUUAGGGUUUUAAACCCUAAACUGAGCUUUUCCAUGCAAUCAGCAUUAGGGUUUUAAACCCUAAACUGAAUUUUCCCUUUAGUCAGCAUUAGGGGUUUUAAACCCUAAACUGAACUUUUUCCUUUCAGCCAGCAUUAGGGUUUUAAACCCUAAACUGAGCUUUUCCAUGCAAUCAACAUUAGGGUUUUAAACCCUAAACUGAAUUUUUUUUUAGUCAGCAUUAGGGUUUUAAACCCUAAACUGAACUUCUUCCUUUCAGCUAGCAUUAGGGUUUUAAACCCUAAACUGAGCUUUUCCAUGCAAUCAGCAUUAGGGUUUUAAACCCUAAACUGAAUUUUCCCUUUAGUCAGCAUUAGGGUUUUAAACCCUAAACUGAACUUUUUCCUUUCAACCAGCAUUAGGGUUUUAAACCCUAAACUGAGCUUUUCCAUGCAAUCAGCAUUAGGGUUUUAAACCCUAAACUGAAUUUUCCCUUUAGUCAGCAUUAGGGUUUUAAACCCUAAACUGAACUUUUUCCUUUCAGCCAGUAUUAGGGUUUUAAACCCUAAACUGAGUUUUUUCAUGCAAUCAGCAUUAGGGUUUUAAACCCUAAACUGGAUUUUUCCUUUCAGCCAGCUUUAGGGGUUUUAAACCCUAAACUGAGUUUUUUCAUGCAAUCAGCAUUAGGGUUUUAAACCCUAAACUGAGCUUUUGCUUCCAGUCAGCGUUAGGGUUUUAAACCCUAAACUGAAUU
rnacentral:lncRNA from 1 species